UCCCUGGUGGUCCAGUGGUUAAGACGCUGCACUUCCAGUGCAGGGGAUGUGGGUUUGAUCCCUGGUCAGGGAA
rnacentral:tRNA from 1 species